rnacentral:rRNA from 1 species
AUACGUAGGGGGCAAGCGUUGUCCGGAAUUAUUGGGCGUAAAGCGCGCGCAGGCGGUCGGGUAAGUCUGAUGUUAAAGCCCGGGGCUCAACCCCGGUUCGCAUUGGAAACUGCUCGACUUGAGUGCAGAAGAGGAAAGCGGAAUUCCACGUGUAGCGGUGAAAUGCGUAGAGAUGUGGAGGAACACCAGUGGCGAAGGCGGCUUUCUGGUCUGUAACUGACGCUGAGGCGCGAAAGCGUGGGGAGCAAACAGGAUUAGAUACCCUGGUAGUCCACGCCGUAAACGAUGAGUGCUAGGUGUUGGGGGUUUCAACACCCUCAGUGCCGCAGCUAACGCAAUAAGCACUCCGCCUGGGGAGUACGCUCGCAAGAGUGAA